CAGCCGCCACGGUAAUACGUAGGUGGCAAGCGUUGUCCGGAAUUAUUGGGCGUAAAGGGCUCGCAGGCGGUUUCUUAAGUCUGAUGUGAAAGCCCCCGGCCCAACCGGGGAGGGUCAUUGGAAACUGGGAAGCUUGAGUGCAGAAGAGGAGAGUGGAAUUCCACGUGUAGCGGUGAAAUGCGUAGAGAUGUGGAGGAACACCAGUGGCGAAGGCGACUCUCUGGUCUGUAACUGACGCUGAGGAGCGAAAGCGUGGGGAGCGAACAGGAUUAGAGACCCCGGUAGUCCCUGUCUCUUAUAC
rnacentral:rRNA from 1 species